rnacentral:tRNA from 1 species
CGGGACAUAGCUCAGUAGGCAGAGCAACUGGCUUAUAUCCAGCGUGUCACCGGUUCGAACCCGGUUGUCCCUA